GUUUUGCACAGCUGAAUCCUGACCUACAUUACGUCACCUAGCCCUGAAUUUGAUGUAAGCCAGGGUGAAAUCUGGCUUAUCGCCUGUCUUAUAAACAAGGAAGGCCUGAGAGCAUUUUUCCCUUUCCAACCUGGGCUGAUGUCACUGUAUUGCGGAUGUAUUACUCAUAUCAAAGACUUUCACAAAGAAACUUGAAGUCCAGGAAAACUGCAGGGCAAAAUCUGGUGGCCACUGAAGCCCUCCAGCUGGGCAGUGGCAGCAAAGUACACCAGGAAAAGGGUAGCCAACACAGCACUCUUGAAGAAGGAUAUGUAGUAAUACCAAAAUACAAAAUACCAAGUUGCACUUCUAACUAUUUUUCCAAGGAAGGUCGUCCCAAUGAUCUCUGUUCUACCUCAGUUCUUGCAGACUGUGAUGGUAGGGGUUGGCAGAGGCAAAGGGACCGCAUCCAAGGAGCAAAAUGAAGGCUGCUGCCAGCCCAGUGCCUCCUCUCCAGGUUGGUGUUGGAUCUUCUGAACUCCUCUAAGCAGCCCCACCAUCACUCUUGAUGAGCCAGGAUGUUCUCCCAGUUUGGACAUUCCCACCAUGGGAGUCCUCUGUGCAUUAACACAAAAUACUGCACUUUGGCAAACAAAACACGACAUUUUUUCAUCAUUAUUUACUCUGAAACAUGUGCUUUGGCAAGUACGUCCUCUUUAUUUCUGUGAAAUCUAACUGAAGAAACAGAAGAUAAAUGAGUAUGUCUAAUACUGCAGCACAGUUUAGAAAUAUGGUCCAAUCUACCCUCUGAUGCAAGACUGAACCAUUUUUAAACCUUGGCUACAGAUGCUAUAUUGUCAAAUACACAUACACAAAGGUCAUUAGAGUUCAGUCUGAUUUUUUUUCUCUUUUCUAGCAGUUGUUUAGGUUGGUGCUUGAAAAAAAAAAUGUAUUGCUUUAUACUUAAAUUAUAUUUACAUUUUAGCAUAGAAAUUCAGCAAUAAGCGGGGAGAAGAAUGUAUUUUCUUCAUUGCAAACCGCCAAUAGCUUUUCAAAACACUUAUGUCUUGGAAAAUUUCCACACAUUUUCCCUUGUGAUCAAGGGACACUUAUCUUAAACCACUUAGGAGCUGACAUGACUGCACGGUAGGUCACUCUGACCACAUAAGAAUAUUUUGCCAGAAAGAACAAGGGGGAGGAUUACAACCCCAUCUUUGGUACUUCUGACAUGCUGGCCCCGAAAGCUGUGACUGUAUAAUCUGUCCUUCGGUAUAUUUACAUUCCUAAGAAUACAGGCAGUUUAAGACGUGUUUUAAGCAAUUUGUUGGAAUCUAGUAAAAGGAAAAUCUUUUAGGGGAUCUGCUGUAGUAAUUCCUAUUUAUUUUAUCUUCCAUUUUCUUUUCUUUU
rnacentral:lncRNA from 1 species